rnacentral:rRNA from 1 species
AGAGUUUGAUUCUGGCUCAGGAUAAACGCUGGCGGCGUGCUUAACACAUUCAAGUCGAACGGACGAGGGGAGCUUGCUCCCCAAGUUAGUGGCGGACGGGUGAGUAACGCGUGAGCAACCUGCCUUUCUAAGCGGGAUAACAGAGGGAAACCGCUGCUAAUACCGCAUAACGUAUGAUGAACGCAUGUUCGACAUACCAAAGGAGCGAUCCGAAGAAAGAUGGGCUCGCGUCUGAUUAGAUAGUUGGUGAGGUAACGGCCCACCAAGUCUGCGAUCAGUAGCCGGACUGAGAGGUUGAACGGCCACAUUGGAACUGAGAAACGGUCCAGACUCCUACGGGAGGCAGCAGUGGGGAAUAUUGGGCAAUGGGCGAAAGCCUGACCCAAGCGACGCCGCGUGAGGGAAGAAGGUCUUCGGAUUGUAAACCUUUGUCAACAGGACGAAGCAAGUGACGGUACCUGUGGAGGAAGCCACGGCUAACUACGUGCCAGCAGCAGC